AUUAAACAAACACAAAUCAGAUUAGGAACACAGUAAAACAUCACUACUUUGCGAUAUUGCCCUUUACAAAAAGUCAAUGUCCUUUCCUUUCUCCCUCAAAGGCUGUUUCUUUUUUCUCCUAUGGUGGAUGAUUGUGGGGGGAGAAAAAUUAUGAUUAGAAUCAAGUGACAGAGAGCCAAAGCGGGGGGUUAUCAAUGUUGGGAUGUUUUUGUUUUUGGAUUUUACUGCCCAGAGAAGCUGUUGGUGUAAUAAAUGAGCUGAGAAGGAGAGAGAAAGAAAGAGGUUUUCAUUGGAUUCACUGAGCUUCUGUGUAUAUUGGUUGAGGAGCUAAAUCAAGAGCUCUAUAGGAGUUUUGGUCAAUCUAGGUGAAAACCCUUUUGAAACUGCGCCCAAAUUGUUUCCAAAGCCUGGAGAUUAUUUAGGGUUCUAAAGGGUUGACUGUGGCUUUGUCUUCUCUGUCUCUCUCUGCUGCUGCUUUUGCUGCACAUUUCUGGGUUUCUGGUGUGCUAAAAAUGGAGUCGUUUGGCCAAUCUGGGUGAAACCCUUUUUGUUCUUUGUCCUCCAUCCUUGGAAACCCCUCUUGAAAUUGUGCCAAUUCGUUGCAAAAAG
rnacentral:lncRNA from 1 species